CCUGGUAUCGUCUAGUGGUUAGGACACCAGGUUCUGAUCCUGGUGACCCCGGUUCAAACCCGGGUACCAGGU
rnacentral:tRNA from 1 species